rnacentral:lncRNA from 1 species
UUGAGCAUGGUCUAAGAUAUAAAAUUCGGUCGCACUUGUCAUCUCAUACUUUUAACAACUACAAGAUGUGUUAGAAAGAGCUUUGAAAGUGGAAUAUGAUAUGAAAAGAUCAGAACAAGAGAGAGGAGAUAGAAAGAGGCCGAGAUCAAUAGAAAGUUCAAAAUAUUAUGGCAAGAAUCAUCAUGGAUCUUAUCUUGAGAAGCUGGGAGCAUGUUUUACAUGCAACAAGGUGGGUCAUAUGGCAAGAGAUUUCUCUAUCAAGAAAAAAGAAAAUCCAAAAUCUACCAAACAAGCUGACCAGGAACACAAAGAGAAUGUACGGGUGUUCGCUUUGACCCAACAUCAUGCCAAUUCAAGUGAUCAAGUAAUGAUAGGUACCAUUCUAGACAAGUCCAUAGAUGCUCAUGUGCUAUUUGAAUAAGAUUCUUCUUAUUCUUUUGCAUCUCUCAAGUUUCCUACUUUUUUAAGCUGCAUAAUUGAAGAUUUGAAUGAGCCAUUAUGUGUUGCCAUUUCUCUUAAUAAAGUUAUUUUUACAGAUGUUUUAUUUAAGAUGUGUAUCACUUAGACGAGGAAGUUAGGGUUAAUACAAACCAAUCUAGAGUUUUGAGCCCUAGAAGAGUAAGAUCAGAUCAAAGUUCUGCAGCAAAAGUAUGGCGGAAUGUUAAAUGAAAGACAAAGUACCCCAAUUUGUUUAAGAAUUAAGUGUUAAGUUUCCCAUGUUAGCCCCAAGCAUGCUUUGCACAUGAUGGGUGGAAGACUCCCACGACGACUUCGACUCCGAGUCAGAAACUUAGGGACACUGGAGCCUUAGGUCUCCUCUAUAUAAACACCUUUUCCCCCCUCUAAGCCCUCCAUCGACGGUCAUCAGCUCUCCUUCUCUCUCUUUUCUCCCCUUGAUCUCAUGGUUGUCCGUCUUCGUGUUUGCCAAAAAUUGGGGCCGUCGGACACCACUAGAACUGAGUUAAUGCCCCAGCCUUUUUCCCCUUUUCUUUUUCUUCUUUCCAUGAUCUAGAAUCACGAUAGUUGGCCGAACAAUCAGCCAAAAAUCGACCGAAAAUCUGACCCCCAAUUUUUUUCCUAUUUUUGGCUGAAAUUUUUCUUCUUUUUCGGCCACUGAUGCCACUGUUUUUUAAUGUCGAGGCCUUGGUUGAGUCGGCCGACCUCCUUAUCUUCAUCCCUGAUCCGAGUCGGACCUCUAGUUGUCGGCAAGUGGGCUAGGACUCGAGAAUCACCGAGCCAAAAAAUUUCUCUAUUUGGCCCUAUUUUGGGUUGAUUUGUGCCGGCCGCCACCAUCGAUCACCACCCAUUGCCCUUCAUCACCUCCAAUUGCCACCUCGUCGAACCACCAUGACCAUGACCGUGGUCCGCUGCCUCCUUCCCCUGUUCUGCCAAGGAGAAGAAGAGUUUAAAAGGAAAGAAGAAGAAAAGUUAGAAAAGAAAAGAAAAAGAAGAAAGAGAACCUAUCUCUCUCUUAUUUCUUCUCUCUCUUCUUCCUCUUUCUCUCUCUAGGAGACUUAUGGAUCCCAGUACAGAGUCUUGUCGACCUAAUCUACGAACCUAAGUUGACCCCUGAAAAGAGGCUCUAUACUGCCUUGGUGCCCCGAAUGCCUAUUGGACCUAUCAUUUCGGCUCUGUUAAAUAUUCUUGGAUUCCACUCAUAAUGAAUCUUAUCGAAUGACCUUAGCGCUAAUCGAGUCCAUAUCCCAUGAUUCAUUGAUUGAGUUUCUUAGAUUUGACCUGCCUGAAGCUGCCAAAUGCUGUCACCUGACCAACCGUCUCCUUUUCUUAUUAUUUUAGUUUGAUUAAAAUCAUCGAAUAGAAAUUAAUCUUGCUUUUAAUAUUUUUAAAUAGGGCUAACUAAUUUACCUAGUAAAAUUUAUACAGGCGAAAGAAGUAAGUAGAUAUUACACUCAUUAUUUUUCAAAUGAUCAUAUUUUUCAUGCAUAAAAUUUGUUGAUGAAAAUAUCAUACUUUUUUUAAAAUUUACUGGUGGAAAUAUCAUGUUUUAUUAUGAAAAAUAGGUCUAUGAAUACUUUAAUAAAAAUAGUUCUGUUAUGAAAGCUGAAUCUGAUCAUGUUAUUUAGUAUUUUUUUAUCUAUUUAUGUAUAUAUUUUAAGAAAAGAUAUAAGUAUUUGAAAAGCUCUCAAAUUGCUAUGUAUGAUCUCUAUAAUUGAAAAAAUCGACAUAUGGAGUUAGCAUCCAUUAGAGCACAGGUCCUGCCAGUGGGUAUAAAGUUGACAUACAAAAUAAAAAUAAAUGUCGAUUAUGAACACAGACCCUGUCAUGAGUAUAAAGUAACUGUAGCACGAAUAUUUGUAAGCAAUAUUUUGAACUAUGAUAUAGCUAAAUGGUAGAGGGAUGGUUUUUGAAUAUAUUCUUGUAACUAUGUUUAUGAAAUUGAAUAAUUUAUGCAUGCAUGACUGGCUUUGUGACUUAUUUUAAUAUAUUGUACUAUGAAAUGCUUUAUUUUAUAAUAUCUGUUAUUUCUUUUAAAUAAUGCAUUGCUAUAAAAAAGCUUGAUCCGGUAAGGUAGAGUAAGAUUUACUUACUAAACUAUCACUCAUAUAUCUCUAUUUUUAUUUUUCUCUCUCCAGAUGAAUAAGGUCGAUAAGGACGAAGGCCCAGACUUAAGUUUGCGUUAGCAAGUUUGACAAUUUUGUAAAAAAAAUUUAGUAUUUUAAAUUGACUAAGAAUUUGUAGCUAAUGAUUUUUUAAAUAUUGAGGAUUAUGGGUUUGGUAUUUAUGUUUGAAUUUAGAUGCUUUGAACCAGUAUUCAAUGCAUUUUAUGGAUAAUAAAAUUAGAUUUUUAUUUAUUAUAUUUUGUUUGAGAUGAAUUUGGAAGUUAAAUGAAAUGUUUGGCUUUGUGUUAUCAUGGGUUGUUCCUCUCUAUAGUAUGGCCAUAUUACGUCCCGAAUUUCGUACGUGAUAGCUAAUGAUUGCUAUCACUUAUCAUCAAGAUCUCCACUAUAACCUACUACUUUUAACAAUUUACACCACCAACCACAACUGUUAAUUAUAGUUGACAAAAGUUAUUAAUGCACAUAUUUUUAAAAAGUGCUGUUUACAUAUUAUAAAUUGAUGAUGCAUAAAUAUUGAACUGAUUUUUUUCUGAAAAUAUUCAUUUUUGUAGGGAAAUAGAUAAGAUAUGCGGAUAUAAUGGCAUUUUGGUACCAUCAAAAAUGAAAAAUUCUAAGAAAUCAGAAGAAGUAAAAUUUAAAUUAAUGAAUGUGAAGAAGUGUCUAGUUAUCACGGUAAUAAUCGGCCAAGCUAGUACUUGUAGUGACUCUCUAUUUGAGUCUUGUAAUGGACAUAUGCUCAACUUUGCAAUAAAAUUUGCUUAUCAUGUUUAAAAUUAUGUAAGUGAUCUGAUCCCCUACAAAAAAUUAUGCAUGGUAAUUGAGCAUAUAUGGAUCAUCCAUUUUAAAUAUGUAAAUUACUGUUUAAUACUGUAGGCAUCAUCUUUUUGAAAAAUGUACAUAUAUCAUCUUCUUUAAAAGCAAACGUCAAUUCAAGAGCAUCAGCUAUUUAAGCCCAAUUUGAAAUGUACACAUCACUCGUUUAAAUUGUAUAGUGGUAACAUUUUAAUCUCUUAUAAUAUAUGCAUCAAUUGUCAUCCAAUAAAUGCCACCUUUUCAAGACAUGUUUAUCACCUAUUUAAAAUGUGCAUAGUAUUAAGCAUGUGUGAAUUGCCCAUUUUAAAUAUUAGAUAGUUGUCAAUAAUUGUUAGCAUAGUUAGUUGGUACCUCACCCCUACAAGAUUGCCUAUCAUGAGGUUCAAGAUUCAAAUCGUGGAUAUUACUCAAAAAUUAAUAUAUGUGUCACUUUUUAGGACAUUAGUAUCAGAUUCUUUUGUAUCGACUAUUUAAAAUAUGUACAUCAGUUGUUAUCUAAUGAGUAAUUCUCCUUUUUAAAUAUGCAUUUAUACCACUUUGAUAUCUUUCAAUAUGUGCAUUAGUUGCCAUCCAGUAAGUACUUCACCUGUUUAAGAUGCAUGCAAUAAUAAUUGGACAUGCUCCAUUUCAAAUAUGAGCAUCAAAAGCUUAUAAUGUGUGCAUCAUACUUUUAAAAUGUAUGCAUUAGUUAUUUAAAAUAAGUACUUAUAAUCUUUCGUAUCUAUAAUAUGUGCGUCAAGUAUACUAACAAAAGUUGUAUCAUCCAUGAGUGCUGUUCAAAAUGUACUCAUAAAAUUUGUAUACUAAUAAAUUAUGUAUAGAUUGUCCGUUUCAAGUAUGUUAACUAAAAGUUUAUAAUGUGUGCAUCACUCUAUUAAAACAUUCACAUUAGAUUUUAGUGUACAGCUAUAUGUCAUGCAUGUAUGCACGAUCAAUUUGAAACAUGUAUAUUGGCAGGGGCGGCCCAAUACAUUUNNNNNNNNNNNNNNNNNNNNNNNNNNNNNNNNNNNNNNNNNNNNNNNNNNNNNNNNNNNNNNNNNNNNNNNNNNNNNNNNNNNNNNNNNNNNNNNNNNNNNNNNNNNNNNNNNNNNNNNNNNNNNNNNNNNNNNNNNNNNNNNNNNNNNNNNNNNNNNNNNNNNNNNNNNNNNNNNNNNNNNNNNNNNNNNNNNNNNNNNNNNNNNNNNNNNNNNNNNNNNNNNNNNNNNNNNNNNNNNNNNNNNNNNNNNNNNNNNNNNNNNNNNNNNNNNNNNNNNNNNNNNNNNNNNNNNNNNNNNNNNNNNNNNNNNNNNNNNNNNNNNNNNNNNNNNNNNNNNNNNNNNNNNNNNNNNNNNNNNNNNNNNNNNNNNNNNNNNNNNNNNNNNNNNNNNNNNNNNNNNNNNNNNNNNNNNNNNNNNNNNNNNNNNNNNNNNNNNNNNNNNNNNNNNNNNNNNNNNNNNNNNNNNNNNNNNNNNNNNNNNNNNNNNNNNNNNNNNNNNNNNNNNNNNNNNNNNNNNNNNNNNNNNNNNNNNNNNNNNNNNNNNNNNNNNNNNNNNNNNNNNNNNNNNNNNNNNNNNNNNNNNNNNNNNNNNNNNNNNNNNNNNNNNNNNNNNNNNNNNNNNNNNNNNNNNNNNNNNNNNNNNNNNNNNNNNNNNNNNNNNNNNNNNNNNNNNNNNNNNNNNNNNNNNNNNNNNNNNNNNNNNNNNNNNNNNNNNNNNNNNNNNNNNNNNNNNNNNNNNNNNNNNNNNNNNNNNNNNNNNNNNNNNNNNNNNNNNNNNNNNNNNNNNNNNNNNNNNNNNNNNNNNNNNNNNNNNNNNNNNNNNNNNNNNNNNNNNNNNNNNNNNNNNNNNNNNNNNNNNNNNNNNNNNNNNNNNNNNNNNNNNNNNNNNNNNNNNNNNNNNNNNNNNNNNNNNNNNNNNNNNNNNNNNNNNNNNNNNNUCCUCCUCUCUCUCUCUCUCUCUCUCUCUCUCUCUCUCUCUCUCUCUCCACCUUCCGGGGGCCUUCUGUUGGCCCGGGGCCUUAGGCGACCGCCUCAGUCGCCUAAGGCUCGGGCCGGCCCUGUAUAUUGGUUAUCUAAUGUGCGCAUCUCCUUUAAAAGGCACAUGCAUCAACAAUGAUCGCCACCGCUAUCAUCAGUAGUUGUGAGUGGUGGUAGGAUCAAUGAUGGUGGUGGGCAAUGGUAGAUCUUGUUAACAAUGAUAGGCAAUGUUCAAGAUCCCAAUGGUGGAUAUUAUCGAUAGUGAUGGGUUAUGGUGGAGAUCAUCAAUGAUAGUAGAUGACAAUAAAGCUCAUUAGUCGUGAUGGGCAAUGAUGAGAAAUAAUUGAAAUCACUAACAACAGUGAGUAGUGGUAGAGAGUAUUGAUCAUGGUAGACAGUGGGGAACAUCAUUAGUGGUGAUGGGUGGUGGUGCAUAUCAUCGCUUUAGUUAUCAUCUGGCGAGUACAUCACCCGUUUAAGGUGCAUGCAACAAUAAUUGGAUGCAUGGAUAGUCCAUUUCAAAUGUGAGCAUCAAAAUCUUAUAAUGUGUAUCAGACUUUUAAUAUGUGUGCAUUAGUAUAGUAUGAUAGUGUAAUAUUAUAGAAAUCUAAUAAUGUUUUAUUAUUAAAAUAUGAUUAUUAUGGUAAUACCUUGGCAUUACCAUAAUAUUAGUAUAAUAUAAUAUAAUAUUUAUAGUAUAAUAAAAUAAAAUUAAAUAAUAUGAUAUGAUAUAAUAUAAUAUAAUAUAAUAAUAUAUUAAUAAUAUAUUAUAUUAUAUUAAUAAUAUAUGUAUUAUUAGUUAAUAAUUGUGAUACAAUAUUUUGAUAUAAAGUAUUAAAAUUAUUAUUAUUUCAUAUUAAUAUAUUAUUACAAACUCUAAUAUUAUUAUAAUAUAUGAAUGAGAUAAGAUCAUAUUAAUAUUAUGUGGUAUAAAAUAUUGUUAAUUAUAAUUUAUGUAUUUUAUUUCAAUAUAAAGAUAUAAUAAAUAAUGUAAUAGCCAUAAAGUUUGAAAACAUUUUGGUCACACAAAUAAAUUUUCGUGGAGAGAAGCUUUAGUUUGGAGCUUUUGCCAAGCGGAGAUUUUUCAACUUCUAAGAGGAUCAAGAAGCUAUUUCAAGUUUUUUACCAAACACCCAUGUAUCCCCUCGAAAUAUUUUUUGGGUUCUAGAGAUGAUUUUGGGUCCUCCAAAAACAAUCCUAAAUGGGACCUAAAUGUUCUUGCUCCUGGACUGUCAGAUCAUGUAUUUGCAGCUUCACUCAUUCAUAACAGCUAUAGAGCAAACAUAGCCAGUACAAAAAUUAUCUUAUUGUUUUUUAUUACGUUGUAAUUAAUGCCUGACUAAAUGUUUAAAGAAAUUGCUACUCAGCUAAAAUGAUCGUGCAUCUUCUCACUACCCUGCUUGACAAGCAUGUGUUGUAUCAGCAAAUAGACCAUAGAUCUCAAGUCAUGAGCACUCUCAUAUUUUCUAGGUUGAAAUAAAUGUGUUCCCCCAUCAUAAGGCAUCAGUAGAACAUUGACUUUCUAAAUUUUGUGACAAAAUAUGUUACUUUUUUCUAUGUUAAAUUGCUAGUAUCUUUCUUAUAAAGAAACAUCAUAAUUCGAGGAACAUAUUGAUGUCCAACAAAUAAAGACUGAUUCCAAGAGUAUCACUUUGUCCCCGAGAGGGGUUUAUGCAAAGGUAUACCAACCAUCACCCACUUUUUCUCAUGUCAUUUUUUUAUGCACACAUAAAAAUGGCCUAGCAAAAGCCCCGUCUCCGUGCUCAGAUGCUAGGUUCAAAUGAGGAUAACAUAUUAAAAUAUGGGCUAGCUAAGUCAUGCUAGCCAGAACUGGGCGUAGUCUUCUAAUCGCAGAGUUCCAAAUUCGAAUCGCACCGCACGUCGAUUAAAAUAUGGUGACAUUGCUUGGACUUGGAGUUUAGAAGCGCUUAUUAGUCCACUAAUAGCUUUGGUGGUGCCAGGUAUGACGUACUCACUUUCGGAUGGAGAGAGUAUGACUAAAACGGUGUCUACCCACAUCGAAUACUCUCCUAACGGGGCGAAGGCUGCUACGCGGGGGCAAGUUGUCCGUUCCUCCCCCCUAACCUUUUUUGUUUGGCAAAAAAAAAAAAUCAUGCUGCUUACAGCCUGUUUCCAAUAGUACAAGGGAAAAAAUCGACACCAGGGCACGACACUGCAAAGGGAUGAGAAUUGUAGAGAGUGGCAUUAAGCCUGCAACUAGUUUUAUAGAACCUUCCUCGAUCUGCAUGCCUACCCUCGUUUUAGAAUCACCCACGGAGAUGAAAACGUUGGUAAUGACAACUUCUAACCAAAUUAAAUGAAGCUUGCCUGGGAAUUUUCUGAGUUGUUCAUCUAGACCAAUGUGUGCAUCUCUAAAACAACUUCAUUUGCGCCGUGGAUGAAUGCCACUGGGUAACAAUCUCCAUAUCAAUGCCAAAGGUAAUCAGAUCUCAUGCUUGGCAUAAUCAGUACAAUGAAACCUAGCCCUGUAUGACUGCCACCAACAAAUGCAGCAUUGCAUGGCUAACACCAAGGUCGCAAGCAAAUGAGUAGCAUGAUGGUGCAGUCUUUCUUUUACACAUCCUGAUGAUGAGUUAAAAAAGUACUUUUGAGUUGUGGUUUGUACAAAUGAAGAGUUUUCUUAAAUUAAGACGGGUGAGCCUAGUUGUGCCCCACAAACUCAGCAUUCAGUCCUACAUGUCAUGGUUCCUUUGUAGUUUGUGAAUGCCCCGCCAGAACUGCUCUAGGUUCUUCCAUUCUCAACUAGGAAAAGAUUUCUUUGUGCGCAAUACUAAUUCUUGUUGGCUGUUUGGAGCAGAUGUGCCUGUACCUUGUUUGAAAAAUAGUUCUCAAGCCUGUGUGGACAAAAAGGAAGAAAGAGAAAAACCAACUUAGCAUGCUGAUAUUGAAGAAGUACAAUGUCAUGUAAUGAUGUACAUCCCAAUAAUGAAAAUGUAGGGUUUGGGCGUAAUUGAUGCACCUUGUUGCACAUUUAUAGUAGAUAGUUUCAGGGGAGUUGUAGGUCCGAGCAUUUGCAAACAUUCUCUUGACAUCAGCAACAAACAUCUCAAAAGUAACAUAAUACUGUUCUGACUCUACUCUCUUUGACAUGGUCCUCAAAUCUGCAUGAACAUAUGUACAUCAAAAUCAGGUUUAAAGAAUUGGAGUUCCUGAAAUAAAAGCAAGUUCUACCACCAUCUUUUCUUACUUAUUUUUCGAGCUUUUGACAUUAGAAGGAAAUGAAUGUGGAAAACUUCAUGAUAUACAAACAGUACACCACAUAUUACCAAAUAAUACUCAGUUUAUCACCAUGAGUGUAUAAACCACCAUUUAACACUUCAAAGCUUGAAUUUUCCAUUCAUAUCCUUUCUUCCUCUUCUUUGGCCUACUUAUAAAGCAGUUUUUCACUAAAGUUUUGCAAAAUUCCAACAUACAUCUUUUAUUCCCCUCUGAGACAGAGAAACACAAUCUUUUUUUAUUUUAUUUUAUUCCUUAUCUCCUUUUCUUCUCCCUUGUCACUAUUUUAUUUUACUCCUUACUUUCCUUCAAAGUUUCAAUAACAACAUUUGCCAUUACAACAGAUCUUAUGGAAAUGGAUAUUGUCCGUUAAAACGGCCAUUUCCUCUCCCAACCUAUGCUAUUUUGAAUUAUUUAUUAUAAAACUAAUAACCAUGAUAACAGCGAUUAACAAUAUUAUAAUGAAAUAUAACAUACUCACUCCUUCCUUCAAGGUUUCAGUAACAAUAUCAUUUGGUUAUAACAGACCUUAACAGAGACUGUUAAAUGGUUAGGAUGGCCAUUAUUUGCCAAGCCUAUGUAAUUUAAAAUUGUUUACUAUUAAAUAAUGAUCACGAUAAUGACUUUCGUAAUGCCAUUUUUUUUAUGAUUGUUAUAACAAACAAUAACAGAAAACAAGGUUAUAUUUUAAUCCUUCCUUUACCUUUGGUUUCAAUAAGUGCUCUUUCAUUAUAACGAAUACUACAGAAAUUUUUAUUGACUGUCAUAAAGGUUACAUCAGCCAUUACUUUCCACAACUUAUGCCGUUUAGUUUUGUUUAUUAUGAAAACAAUGACUGUAAUAAUGGUCAUUAUAACAGCACUGUAUGGAACUUGCCAUGAAUCAUGCCGACCUUGUGAAUCAUGCUAAUCCCCUAUCAUCACAUGGCAUGUUAGCUACAAGUUGUGAAGGGCUUCUUUUUUUGGGUAUGAUUCAUGGCGUUAUUCAUGAAAACUAUAGAAUUCAGAAAAUAUUGCAAAUAUAUAUAUAUAUAUAUAUAUAUAUAUAUAUAUAUAUAUAUAUAUAUAUAUNNNNNNNNNNNNNNNNNNNNAUAUAUAUAUAUAUAUAUAUAUAUAUAUAUAUAUAUCUGACAAAGGUCACUUUUAAUUUACUACAACAUUGGAAUAUAAAUAUUAUAAAUAUAAUUUAACUAUUGAAAAGUUACUUAAUAGGUCAGCUAAAAAAAGCAGGCAUCCCCGCACCUGCAUGGCAUGUGCUGGAUUCACUAGCAUCUACAAAAGAGAAGGUAUCAGUGAUUUUGCAAAUUAAAAAGAGGUAAGCCGCCUUCACUUUAAAAAGUGAAUCAUUAACAAGCCAUUUUAAAUGAAACAAUUCAUUCAUGUAAAAGUUAUCAAAAUAUUUUCAUAUAGAAUCCAGAUUUCAGAGUGCUUUACUCGAAAUUAGAUAAAUAUUCAAUGUUGUUUUAGUUGGUAAAAUGAAAAGCUAAGAAUCCAAUUAGAGGAUGAUAUAAUAGAUGAGGUUGUUUAAUGUGCACCAUCAUGAGUAUGCAUGCAUAUUUAACACUUUGAUUUCUUCUAUUAGUGCCACAAGUCCUUCAAAAUAACUUGUCAAAAUAUUGAGGCUGAUUAGUAAGAUGCAUCUUUCUUCUCAUAAUUCUUAACAGAAGCCAUUUGGCUAGCAAUCUGCAUGGGUUUUCCUCUCGAUGAGAAUUCGUAAUUGCAUUUCUGCUCCUAAGGAUAUCUGUGAUGUGCUAGUAUUGAGAAAUGCUAAAACUUUAUAUGAGUUCAUUACAUUUUUGAAAUGAAUUCCAUAAAGAUAACUAUAAAUAACAUUCAACCAAUUAAGAAAUCAUUAUCAAUUACAAUCUUUGCAGUUCCUAUCAAUAAAGAUAGGGAGGACAACUAUUUUCUCUUUUCCAAUGUGUUAUAUAAUUUUUUAAAUUCAGUAUUUUGGCUAUAGUUGUUAUAUAACUUUGUCUUUCACUAAUCUAUUUGAAACUUCUGGCAUCACGGAUUGAAUGCUAAUGGAAAUGAUAACAUGUAUUUUUGUCAAAUCAAAUCAGUGUAUUGAAGUUCAGAAGGUACCUGGGCUAUAUUGAAUACAAGGGAACUAUAUUAGCUCAACUGAUUCUUGUCUAUUUGUCUAAUGGAGAGCCUGGCAUAGAAGGAAAUCAUCGAUAUGAAAAUGCACAAAAUUAUAUGGAGUACUUCGACAAAUAUAUGGAGUCAGUGGAAUCUGGAAAGUGGGGCCCAUUUUACUACUACGACAUGAUAAGUAUAGCUGACAACCUCAGAAAACAGAAGAUUGGUAAGGGAAUAAUUCGAGUUAUGCUACUACGAUCCAAAAAUGGGACAGAAAUGAGGGGAGAGCUUAUGUGGCAGGCUCUUGAUAGCUGAAUACCUUUUAGAUAAAUGGUAGAAACGGGGAUUGUGGGAAGGAGAAAGUGACACAAAGCCUUUUCUUCUUCCUUGAUUUCUUUCCAAUGGCGGAAAGUCAAAAUUUUGAUUACUAGAGAAGAAAACUAGUGAGAGGCCAGAAUCUAUUUCUUGCCAACCUCCUUCCUCUUCUACUCUGUUUCAACAGAGUAGAAUUUCUACAGGACUAUAGUCCAUUUGAGGCGCUCUCUUUUAUCUCGAUUGAACCUAUAUCACCGCCAUUAACCUCAUCUUCAAAAUAUGAUCUCUUUUCUUCAUCAAAACUGAUCUCAUCCUCAAUGGUUCUAGUGGGUUUGAAGGAGACUGAUCUCUGUGACUCUGUCAGUGAAAGAUGAGGUCGAUGGCUGUGACAGAGAACCACUUCAGCAUUUGCCAUCAUGUCUGCUGCCAACAUGGUCCAAUUUCAACCUUGAAACUUCCCUUGAGGUGUUCCCUUCCUAUCCAUCGGAAUAGAAAAUAUUCAUAAAAAAUCAAUUUGUGAAGAAGACGAAGAAGUAAAUAAAUGAACUAGACUGUGUUGUUUGCCUCUGUUUAAUAGGUAAAAUGGUGGGAUUAUCCCAAUAACUAAUGAAUUAAUACAAAACAAGAUCAGGAAACCCAUGGAUCAGAUAGGAACAAAAAUAUUGCAGAGCAUAUAACAAGAGACUCUUAACCCUUACUACCAAAAAAAAUAAGAAAACAACCCUUAACCAUAACAGGUGAAAGCAAUUCUGCCGUUUUCCCAUCCUUCUCUUUUGAUUAUGAAAGAUUUAAAGAGGAAGCACAUCACACAUCUAGAUCUGGUUUUAGAACUUAGGAGUCUGUGUGGUACCACAUCCUCCUAGCCUUUUUCCCUGAGAUUUUUGUGUGAUUUGAAGAAUAGUUUUGCGGUGGUGGUUGUUAAAUAAUCAAAUAAGCAUGCAUAUUAGGUGUUGGCCACUUGCCUACCCGUGUCAUCCUCUUCUUCUCCCAUCUUCAAUAGUUGGCUUAUUAAAAAAAAUUAUCCAACAAGAGAAAAUAGAGGUAUUAGGUAUUGCAUAAGAAUACACGCUAAUAAGUUUUCCUUUGGUGAAAGGAGAUCUCCAACAGGAUGGAAUAUAAAUCUCCAUUUUCUUUCUUCCAGUGGAAAAGGAGAAUGGGAGGCAGGACAUACGUCAGCAUUUCCAUUUCUGGUGGAAGAGAAGAAAGGGAAGGGAAUAUUUUAUAAUUCCAGUAUUAUCCUUUAACUUUUCUAACAAGUUAAUUAAGGGACACCUCAAUAUGCCAUGUAAGCUGCCCCCUAUUUCUGUCACAAAAAUGGGUUUGACUAGAAUUUUUCAAAUAAUUAACAACCUUGUAAUUACUAUAUUAAUCAAUGUUCAUAGACAAAAUUUUGUCAGUACUAGUGAGUAUGCUGGUCACCUGCUGGAAACAGUACAAUGCUGAAACAAAAGAAAAGAAAAAGAUUUUAAACUAUCUAAAAAGAAGUUAAACGAGUGUUGUGCUGAAAUCAAUGUGCACAUGUUGAACCAAGGUCCGCCGAACCGGUACCGAAACCCAUACCGGUCGGCAGACGGACCUGCACAGUACCAAACCUGGUACAAUACCAAUUUUGGUACCGUACCGGCACACGGUACACUAGAGCUUUCUAUUCCGUACCAGCACGUCCAUUUUUUUUAGUUUUCAAGUUCAAUUAAUUGACAAUCAAUCGUUUUCAACUUUCUUAAUGAUUUUAAGUCUAAAUUGAUUUUUUUUGAUAAUUUUUGAUGUUUUUGAGAUUUCUGUGAUCCCGAUUUAACCUAAAUUAUACAUCUUGUUGUUUUAAAAUGAUACAAACCAUAAAAUAAUUAAUGAGAUGUUGCAUGCUACAAGAAGCAACAUGAAAUAUCCUCAAAUCAAGUGGUGAGGUGAAAAUAUAAAAUAAUACUAUUAAUUAUAGAUAUUUAAAGUACAACAUACAUACCGAUAUCUAAAAUCUCGUUGCGUGACGGUGCCUCUCGUAGAUAUCCGAAUCAUUAGCAGAGUCAGAAAGUACAUCAGCCCGUCCCUCUAACCAAGUGGCAUUGUAGUCUUGUAUGUUCAUCCCAUAAGGAACGUACUCCAGGUUACAAGCACUCUCAGAUCUCUCACUGAAGCUCUGGCUUUGAGAGGUGUCCUCUGGCUGAUAAACUAGCUGAUAAAACGGCCAUAAAGGAGCUCAUUUGAAUAAGCCGGCAGCAAAAUUCGAUCCAUAAGAUGCUCUGAACUUCAUAAGGUAGUAACCACCGAAAGAUCCUCAGACGCACCACAUUCAUAUCUUUAUCUGUAUGGGUUAUAGGUUGUCUAUGCCUAUAGAUAAUAUGAUUCUAUAUACGUCUAUGGAUCCUACUCCACGUGCGAGGUCAUUUGCAGCUACAUCGUAUCCUCCUGAAUGACCUCAAAAAGCCAGUCUCCUAUAUGCAAUAGGAUCCAAGCGGGCUCCACCAGAUCGUGCACCGUGAUCCCUACCGUGUGUAGUAUGCAUAAACUGGGACUCACCAAUGAAUCGAAGACUACCCUGCAGGUGUGUCUCAUAAACGGUGGUCUUAUGUCCUCUACUCUCUUUCUAACUAGCAAAUCCAUGACCACCAGAACAGCUGUUACUGGUCUCUAAAUAUGAAUGAACUAGCUCCUCCACACUCUAUUGGGGUUGCAGGUAGCUUUUGUUAUCCUUCGUGCCACUCACUGCCUACUCAUACUUCGUGCCACUCACUGCCUGCUCAUCCUUCAUGUCACUCGCUGCCUGCUUACUCUUCAUGUCCCUUCGCCUGGCUAUAUUGGGAGGAUGUAUGUUGUCCUCCUGAUCAAGUCGACCGAGUAACGUAGUAGCCUCAUGUAAGCAUCUCUCGAUCAAUUCUCUGAGAGGAUGUCUCUGACAAGGGAGUCAUGUGGUGAUCGACUCUCCUGUGGUUGUGGCUGAUCAGCUGGAAGGAUGCGUGGAAUAUCUGUCUACCUAUUGCCCUGCAUUAACCCUAGCCUCGCUGGCUACGAAACUGACCCUUCCAUCUUCACAACACCUUUUAACAAACGAAGCAAAGGGGGAGGGAGCUCGAUUGUAAAUUGGGUCGACUUGGUGCAAACUGGACCCGGCCGAUUCCGGUCAAUUCGGUCCUGUUUGGGCCUUUUCCGGCCGGUUCCGGUCGGUUCGGAAACCAUUUCAGCUGGUUCGGAGCUGGAACCGAUUUUAAUGGGCAAACUGAUCCGGUUUCCCAUCGGGUCGGCUUGGUACGGGCCGAAUCGGACAGUUCACUCUGGUUCGGCCUACCACGUGUUGAACUUUUGAACCAUAGAGGCUAAGUAUCAUAAAAGAUUAUUAUCUGCAAGCAUUAUAAAAUUGCAAACAUUUUAAGUAAACAAAAAAAAAAAAAAACAUAUGCCCAUAUGCAUAUUCAAUCUUCUACUAGGUAACAUAUUGUAAUCUAAUAAUUAUGAAAAAGAGAUACAAGAUUUGCAAGGAUGCAAUGGAGCUGAAGAAGAUUAGAUAUUAUGAAUGCAAAACAACACAAGUCUUCCACACUUACCCAUCGGAUCUUUAAUGAUAUCAUAAUAAUCAGGCACAUCACGUGCAUCUACCGGCUCCCUAAAUGGCCAAGCAUCAGGAUGCUCAUUCAUCAUCUGUUAGAAAGCCAUCUUAAAAUCAUACUUGCAUAAACUCACACAUGAGCUAAUAAACAUAUAGAAUUUUCAUGGUGAGUCCAAAUCAGAAGUUAUGGUUAAUGGUAUUAGCAAGCACUCUGUCUAUAUUUGAUAUGACUCAUAUCAGAAGCAUAGGAGUCACAAAAAUAAGGGGGAAGAACUGUCUAAGUUGUUGUCGACAUUGACAAUAGGGGUGGAGGCUUGCCCAAUGCAUAGAGGGUAUCAGAUAUAGGUUAAAGGGCCAUGAAGGGUCGGCAAGGUCAACAAAGACUCAGAAAACUGACAACAAUUUUACGUUUCAGAGGUUUGGGAAUUGAAAAACCAAUGGAAAACUAGGACCCAAAAGAAAGUAUGUAGUAAUUCCAUGUUAAAAUGCUGGUUAAUUGAUUUCAAUGCCAUGAACUCCCUUAUAUAAACAAUCUAUUUAUGGUCACAACUUGCCUUUAGAAGACCGCGCAUAAAGGCAUUCAGCUGUUGACGAUAGGCAACACUAUCUGUUGCAUUUGCUGUCUUGAACCUUGAGUGGCCCCACUGGUCUGGAGUCCACCCAGCCUCUCCUAUUUAUGAAAAUAACACCACAAAUAAGAAAGCUGACUGACAGCAUCAACGGCCAAAACCUAUUAAGGUUACCAUAGAUCAAUAACAUAAACUCUUGGUUUGAUAGUGUACAAUUAGCACAUAGCCACAGCAAGAAAUUCAUGUAAUAAUACAAGCAUGUGCAUCUAUGAAAAUAAAACACUAUGCAAAAGCUAGCCUCUUUACUAAAAUAUCAAAUAGAUGUUAGAGUUAGAAAUAGACAACACUCCUUACUCUUUAGGGUUUCCUGUGUCCAACCAGUUGCUUUAUAUAAUCUCCAAUGGGUUCGUCAAAUGGUUUUGUUUUUUAGGCUGGGCCUGCACUACUUUCAGUUUCUUACAACGUCUUCAAAAAAGGCAUUAGCAAUAAGAUAGUUAACGUUAAAAGUAAAUUAAGCAUCACAUUGUGGAGUCAUUUAUGAUGGAAAGUGGCUCAUUAAGUGUUUGAUAGUUGACAUUCAUCUGUUCAUCGUGAAAUAUAAGCAAUGUGGAUAUCCAUCUUGUAAGGAAAUAUAGGAUAUAGAAGACAUUACGCAUGGCUGAGCUUAUUCAUCAAGCAAAUUUAGCCUAUGCUCAGUUAUUUGGUGGUCUGAUCAGGAGCAUCAAAGUGAGAUAGCAGAUGCUUAUCUUCCACAGUCAGAGUGGAAAGGCAGUUCGCAUUUAUAUGGUCAAAAAGAGCUCUUCUUUGCUAAUAAGUUGCUACAUGGUAGCUACUACUGGGGCCCAAACCUUAUCUAGUAAGUGAGAACUAAUAGGAGAAGCUAUAAGCAGAGGCAAAAUCUGCAUCACAGCUUUCCAGGGUCAAAAAAUAAAUGUCCUAUCUUUUGCAAGGUCAGAAUUUUCCUGGUUAAUCCUUGGCAACCCAAUGAAUUGUGAAAACAAUUUUCAAAAACUAAUCAUAUAUAGUAAGUGACUAAGUUUAAAGUUUUAGGUUUUCAAUUCCAUUUCUAGUAAGCAUUUGUUAGUCAAAAUGUUCUUAGAAUGCUCAAAUAUGAUUUGAAAUGGUGGCAGUCCACGGGAAAAAAAUUACCAAGACUUUUAAACAAAUACAUAAACAAGUUAAUAGCAUGUAUGAUCCAUGUUUUGUAAAAAGUUAUAUAUUGGAUGAAAGAAAGAUGCUAACAUAAAAGUCAAAGGCAUGCUUGUUUCACAAUGUCAAAGCAAAUGCAUCAUUUAGAGAGACAGGAAUAUACAUUUCAGCUAAAAAAACAUAAAAAUGUAGUUAUUGGACUACAACUAUUCCUAAAGUUAAACCUGAAAAGGUAUAUGCCGGUGGUUUUACUUACGGAGACCAGGAAUAUCUUCAACUUUUAUAGGCUUCCUAGGUAUACCGGCAUCUUUCUGAGCAUAAAGAAGAUGUUAAUUAGACAUAAUUCUUAAAGGAGACCACUCUUUCAAGAUAAUACAAUACAUAAGGAAAGAUAUUAACUACUUCAAGCAAUUAAUAUGGUUCAAAGUUCUCAACCAGAACAGUAAAGGUGUUAAAAGUAUAGGGUUAAUUCAUUUUCCACUUGCUAAAUCAAUUUCUAUCCACUUUCCCACACUUUGAUUCUUCUUCUUGGAGUCAGAGCAUUGCAUGUUUUUGUAUCUGACACAUGCUGAGGCAUCUACAAGAAGAAGAAGAUUGAAAUAAGGUAUAUGACAACCCAAAAUCCACAUACAAACAACAAAAUGCUUAAAUGAUCAGCUUUGGUCAUGGGAAUGCUGUGCUCAAUCCCUUGUCCUAUAAACUAUCAUGCUUGUAGGUCAGUUUGAAUAACUCACAUGGCCGCUCUCAGUGAAUGCUAACCAUAAGAAGGCAAUGGUGAUACUUAACCAUCAGAAUUUUAACUUUGCAUCAGCAUGCUGUUAGUUUGGUAUCUCUUAUAUGUUUAUAGGUUGAAUAUAGAGCAUGUCUGAUGGAGAUCCAAGAUCAUGCUAUUAUGAUGCAUUGGAGGGCUGCAACUUAGGGAUUCUUCUUAGAUUUAAUUGUAAUUGUCAAUUUACAGCAUUUUUCUUUCAUCUUGUUGAUUUUUAGUUUCUAGUGGGUUAUUAUGAAUCAAGGGCUAAGAUUAAAUGAUCUUCGAUCUAAUUUAACCACUCGACAAGCCAAAUAUCUGUCAUGAUACUGUUCACACAGCGCUAUUUAUGCUACAAUAACCAUGGAAAAUAACUGGUUCAUUAUAAGAUUAAAGACUUUAAAAGACCAAUAGGGGUUUCUUUUUCUUCAAAUACAAAAGUUAUGUAAUCAGAAUUUAUGCAAAAGAUGGAUCAAAUUUGAGUUUUCUUUUCCCCUAUAGUGUGAUGCUGUAGAACAAGCAUGAGGUUUGCAACUCAAGAUGUGAUUCUGAAGUCCUUGAGUAAGUCCCAUAUCAUCCUCCCUUUUCCCUUUACCCUUUGCUUCUCGUUAUGUAUGUUCCCAUAGACCUCGUGUCAUAUAUGUACCAGAUAAUAGACCUUCCAUCAUUCCAACUGUUCAAUUCCAUAAACCCUUAAAAACUCGAUUUCAGCUUUAGAAUCCAAAACAAUGUCUUUGAUAAUAGUCAUCAGUUACAUAUUUACUUCAAGAACAUUAUAUUUCUAGUUCACUUUUUUAACAAAUUUGGGUCUAAACCCAAACUCCCAGCAACCUAUAAGUUUUAGCUCUCUUCUAACCCUCAUAGGUUCCUUCCUGCAGACAAUCUUACAUGAACACCUGGUUAAAACUACAUGUCAUGGUAAUGUUACUUCUUAGUUACAUAUGUUGCAUGUUCUCAGACCUAAAAGAUCAACAUAAUGCAAGAUCCAGUCAUCAUCUUCGGAGUGCUAGAUAGUGGACAAAUUUAGUCAAUCACAUGCAGUGGCAUGUUCAACAAACAGGAUUAUCAUCAAUCGAAAUAAGAUACUCAUCAGGGAAACCAUGGCCCUAUACAAGAGAGCAGAACAGAUGACAUUGAAAGGUAUGUUCCGAUCAUUAGUUUUGCAGGUGAAUUUAUUUAAUAAGAUGCAACAAAACUAAUCCAAAAAUAUAAUGAAAUUCAUCGCUACAUAUUAAGUCUGUUAUUGGUCUGAUGUCUGGUGAUGUUGUCAUGCAUGACAAAGACCAACAUGUGAUUGUUGCUAAUAGAAAUUCAUGGGGAAAAAUGUUGUCAUGUGAAGUAAGAAGUCUGAACUCUGAACCCUAGUCACAAGAAUUAGUUAGUAAAUAUAUCCAUAAGACUUGUAUUACAGAAGUGCUAUUCAAAUAUAUAAAAAAAUAGUUCCACUGGAUGUCUUUUUAUAGCAUUUUGAGUAAUAGUACUCAUUUGAUAAUUGUUCAAGUAUACAUGACUUUUUGCCAUUCGAUUGAAUGGAUUACAAACUUAAGACUUCUAACCUGAAAAAGAAAAUUACUUUAUGAUUUUUACCUAGACAUGCAGACAUUUAGACACAUGCACAUGUGCAUUACACGUACAUAUACAUACAUACAUACAUACAUACAUACAUACAUAUAUAUAGAUAUAUACAUACAUACAUAGUAAAAAACCAUUAAAAAUGCAUAUAUGUACAGCUCUGGUUCGUAACUGUACACAUACAAACAUUAUUCAGAAAAACACAUUCUCCACAAUUCCUUAGUCAUUAAUGCAGAUAAAUGAUGCAAAAACUUUAAAACAUGAUUCUGUCAAAUUCACCCAAGUGUAAGGUUUUAUUAGGACUAAUAAAAGCAUCUUAUUAAUUUUUGUAGAAAAAACUAAUCACAAUUGAUGACAAGCACAUGUGAGACCAACUUCUGGGUAGUACAAGAAAAUAAAACAGUCAAGAACAGUGCAUGAUUUGAUUACUAGACUUGUUAUCAUAAUCAAGAUUCGCCAUUUUGUUACCAGACCCCGUAGUGGUACCAUCCUAGUAUAGUAUUAGAAUGCCCAGUACAAGGCUAGUUCGACGUAGUUAGACCUGGUACAUCCUCCGUAUCGAGUCUCAAUUUAGUACCAGUAUGGUACUGCCGGGUAUAGGACAUUAUACACCAUUAUGGUCAACCUUGGUCAUAAUAAAAGCAGCUCCCUGCAUAAUUCAAUUGGAAGAUUCACAGAUGGUAUGUCUUUAGUAGUCCAAAACAAAGCACAACAAAUAAUUAAGGAUACUUCCUUCAAGGAAUUAUUUCUCAAUGUGUGAAAAAAGCAUAUUAUUUGGAACAUCAACCAAAAAUAAUUAAACAAGUAGGAAAGGUCAAGGUCAACAUCACAAUGAAGGGCCACAUACAACCUUUUGAAAGUCAAUUCCUGCAUAAACAAUGUGACAGUUGGAGAGUUCUCUAAUUUUCUCAUCAAUUGCCUGCAAAUUCACACAAAAAAAAAAGAAAGAAAACACAUAUUCAGGUAAUGAGUCACACAAAAAAAAGAAAGAAAACACAUAUUCAGGUAAUGAGGAACUUCCUGUUUUUCUGGAUAAUAUAAUUUCUCUACUUAAACUUUUCUCAUGAAAGUAUUAUUUCUGCAAAAGCUUCUAAAAGCUAAGAAGAUUUACAAAAAAGAAAUAGGGCAGAAAAAGAUGUAUUAAAAGAUGAAAAUAAUAAUAAAGACAUUUGUGAAGCUCAGAAGAGUGAUAAAAGAUUGAAUACACUAGAGGAAUUAAGGAAGUCACAAGAUUAGCGAGCAAACUAGUUAACUGGUUGAAACAGUACAACAUGCAACAAAAAUUAGAAAAGUUUAAAAAGUGGAAGAUGCUUGCAUUUGUGUUGAAAGGUCCAAAAUGAGGAAGGAUGCCUGAUAUACCCAGUCAAAAGCUGGAAAGAAGGACAUGGAAAAUCUUCUGUUGUUGUUGAGGUCAAUAUAAUUUAAUGACUUAACAAAUUAAAACUGGCCCCAAAUUUUCUUUAUCAUAAUAAUGGGAAAGUUUUCCGAUGGUCCGUAGGCAAAUUGGCCUAUAAGUUGUUUCUGUAAUUGAAAACUGAAGCUGGUGAAAGAGUUCUAGAAAGGAAACUCUUGCAGGCAUUUGUGAAUACAUGGUUUUGUCUCAAUCUCACAAUUGUAGGGCUGUCUCUGAUUUGAGGUAACUAAAGCAUAUCCAUCAAAAUUUUCUUUUUCCUUUUGGAUCACAUACAUCCAUCAGACAUUCCCUCCUCCUGAAUCAACUGCAUUAAAAGAUUGAGAACUGAAGCAUAUUUGGUGGCAGAUAACUUUUCCUCCCUUAGGAUUUAGGAGAGACCAAAACUUUUCUAGAGGUAGAAACAAAAGAAUGAGUGAUUGAGUCUUGAUAAUAAUAACUUCAACAAUUAUUAGAAUUAUCGCCAUAAAGUUCCUCAUGAUCCUCCCUAGGAUCAUGGCUAUUGUCAACUAGACAAUAAGAUGGACAUCAUGAUUGAGUGAGAAAAAAAAAACACUUGUUCAAUCCCAACCCUUAGAUCUAUAGAGCUUGACCCAAGUGGUAAUACCAAACACCAUGAAUGUUUGAAAAAGAAAUAUCUAAAAGAAGGGUGACUAUGUAACCAUGCACUUACAUAUAGUUCUCACUUAAGGCAGACAAAAUUUUAUCCAACCAUCAACUAUUGUCUUGGUUCCUAGAUAAUCAUAUUAUUACCUCUAGGCUAUAAUCACCAAUUCAAGUAUAACUCAGAUUCUUCAUUCUUAUAACACAUCAUCCUUUAUUUGAGACUGUAUGUGGAAAGCAAAUAAUUAGUCCAUACAAAUCUCGUUGAUAUGGAACAAAGCAUCCCAUACCUAUUUUUUAUCAAGGUUGGCGAUGAGAGACCUCAAAAUACCAACAACAGCAGUAAAAAACUUCCAAUACUCAAGCAAAGUCAUGGUUGCAUAGAAAGCUGUGACAAAACAAGCCAAAAAAUCCAUGCUUCUAGAUUCUUGCAAACAUUAGUCGGCACAUCAAAAUGAAUAGAGGAAAACCUCCAAACCACAAGGAAGCUAUUAGUAGUUGAAUGGGUUGCACUUGGCUCAUAGAUGUUCAAUGGGCUCAAACUUCAGCGAUAUUAGCCGUAGGUGGAUAUUUUUGUAAGCCCCAGCAACUUCAGAGAUUUAAUAGAAAUAGCAUAAUUGGAAUUAUGAAUGGGACCAUUUCCAUUAUAUCCAGCAUCAAAUUAGCUUUCCAACGCAUCUAGAAUUACCUCAAUCAGAGGUCAAAUGAGGAAAUUACUGUCAAAAUACUUAGAUGAUGCCAAAGCUACAGAUUAUGAUGGCUGGAACCCAACCAUUCAACUCAUUUGAAUGGGAAAACCCCAGUCAUAACCCAAUUUUGAGUCCUUGUAGGUGUAGCCAUUAUCUAAGUAAAGGUUACAACUAUGGUAUGUUAGUUGGUUAUGCUUAUGGUUUGAUGUUGAAAUUAGAUAAUUCAAUCUGAACUAACAAAUAUGAAAUCUUCCAAACAAAUUAUUAUUUACACCAACAAUCUAUUAAAUGCAAAAAGAGAUGGAAAUAAAUAUGCUCCACAAAUAGACAAAGAAAAGAUGCACAUGAGCAUCAUUUGAUCAUCAAACAACAAAGACACUUAAAAAAGAAAGCAUUGGAAAUAAAGCAGAGCAAAUAACAGGGUCUAUGAACAUGUAAGGGCAUAGUAGAUACAAGGAUAUUGAGAUGGAUGGGUAGGGUAACAAGCAUGAGUUCAAAAAUAUGCACAUUUUAGAAUACAUAAGAGUAACACAAACAAAAGGUGAAAAAAAGUGAGAGAGAAUAAUUCAAAAAGGUUUAGCUAUGUGCAGCAUAGGCCAAAUAAGAUCCCAAUAAAAAGAAAUUAUAGGAUUUGGAUGAAGGUUAAAAAUAAAAAUAAAAAAGACAAAAAUGGGUUGAGGACUUGGAUGGUAACAAUUAUGGAUCUGAAAACACUUUUCACCUUUGAAGACCUGACCUUCGACAGAAAGUGCUUCCUAAGUCAACCAAAAAAAUGGAACAAAAAGUUUGACUAUGUGAAGCAGCAUCUUUCAAUUUACCUGCCUUUGUCGACGAAUCAUCGUAGCCAAAUCAGUGUAUGGAAGCUUUGGAUCAAUUUUGCAUUCCAUUAGUAUACCUCCAUCAUAGUCUUUGAUAUACCUGAAACGUACAAAUAAUCAAGGUAAGGUAAAUUUUCAAAAGCCGUCAAAACGGGAUGGUACAACCAGUACCAUCCAUUCUAGGUGAAACCAGUACUGGUACAGGUGCAAGGAUGCCCAAACAAUUGUACCAGUAUGUACCGUCCAUAUCGAUCUAUACCACUCUAUACCAAUACAUACCGAUAGGUUAUCGUAUUGAUCUGACAGGUGGUUUUUCAAGUUUUAGAAUAACUUAGUUUUCAUACGUAUCAUCGGUACUGGUAUUCUACCGAUACCAUACCAUUGCAAUAGAAAAACGUUAUAGGGCUCGGUACCAGUAUUUAGAACCUCUUUAACUAUCAUGAAACCAACAUAAAAACAGUAUGUUUGAUAUUUUAUGAAUUAAUCAAUCAUCAAAAUAUUAAAGACAAUGUUGGAGGACACUAGAAAGUGACUCAACAGUGUUUUAAUACCAGAAGACCAGUCUCAUAAUUGUCAUGUAAAAUAUGUGAGAACUAGUGACAAGGUUCAGGAUAAAUCUUGGUAAAGACUAUUUCAGCUUUUAGUGAAGCUCAACCCAAAAUGAUGGGGGUAAAGCUACACUACAAAAUUGUCAAUAGGCAGAUAAGUCUUCAGAAGCAAGCCAAGCUUAAAAAGUCAUAUAGACAAAAUAAUAUGCAUACCCCUGCCAUCUUUCUUUCUCCAAUGUGAUCUCCUUUGUGAAGCCCUAUAAGAACAGAUCAAAUAAUGAGUAUGAUAUUAAAUUCAAUUGGUUCAUGAGAGUAUUUGCAACUUUACAAUUGGACUAUCAGAAUGAUGAUGCUGAUGAUAGCAGAGCAAAGGAAAGUCAGAAAACUGCAUUACAGGUAUAAACAAUCAGCAUAAAAGGAAAACAUGAGCAGCUUUCAAGUGUGUGAUGUGAAGCAGCAGAGAAGCUCCAUUCACGAACACAAGGUCAGUCUUGAAAAGCUCAAACGAGACACCAUCUCCAUGUGAGUGGUGCACGCAUGCACUUGCAUGGGCAUGUGCAUGCGCGCGCGCGCAGAGAGAGAGAGAGAGAGAGUAGCUGUUGUAGGGUACCACCUUAACUAAAAGCCAAAAAUGAUGCAUUGUUAAGAUGUGACGAACAAAAAUGCUAGGUACAACAACUUUUCCAGACCCACCAUGUACCCACAAAACAAGGAUUCGUGUCCAUCAGCGGAAGAAAAAGGAAAAAAAAUGAGCUCUUUAAGAUGUCAAGUGAAAUUUGCAAAGUUGAAUGGAAGCUACAAAUAGAGCACAGCUUAUGGCUUGGUAACAUUGUGGUCGUGAACCAAAAUCAACUUAUAUAGCAAAUAAAAGAGAACUUUGCUAUCUUUCUUCCCUUUUUUGUGUGGCUGAGUAGGGUAAUCAUACCUGCUUUACAAAAUAGCCAACAGCAUUAUUGUCUGCAUAAGUUAGAAAAUGAGUGAGCCCAUCAACAUCACGAGCAUGUUGUUUCAAGUGAUUCAUGAGUCUUGUGCCAUAGCCUUUGACUUGUUCAUCAGCUGUGAUUGCACAAAAUGCAAUCUCUCCAAAUCUCUGACUGCAAGCAAUCAAAGAUCAUAUGUUAAUGGACAAAAUCAUGCAGAUUGAUAUCAACUAGAAUCAUUGUACCAUGACAAAGAUGAAAGGGACAUCUUGCACCUUUUUCAUUACUUUCACAAGUUCAAAUAUAGAAUGAGAUGAUAUAAGAUUAGAUAUAAAUAACACAAAUGCUCCAAUAAUUUAGAGGAAUAGAUUGCUAAGAAAAUAAACAUAAUAAAAAGGGAAGCAGGAAAAAAGAAACAAUAUGUUUGCACAUUUAGACUAGAACAAACACCUAUGAUCUAUCGCCAUCACAUGCUCUCUGUGGGGUUAAUAUUUCAAACAUAUAUUUCCUAAUUGUCAAAUAAAAACCAUAAUGAAACUCUUCGGAUAUCUCACCAGUUGUUUUGGGUAGAAAAGAUAUUGGUAUUUUAUGAGAAGGAAAAAAUUAUUGUUUGCGACAACUACAGAGAUGACUGUGCAAAUGUAACCAGAAUUCAGCGGUCUGGAGGCAUUGGAAUAGUACCAGACACAAGUUUCCAACUUUGAAGAAUUUUCUCCACUUUGGUUACAAGGGAAGACACAAAAUUCACAAAAAGAACAUACAUAGUUUGGAUCAAAAUUAAUAUGGUCAGAUUGGAAGCCAAUUAUCCAACUACAGGUAAGGUUCAGGUUAGGUUGAUUCCCUAAGCCACAGCCCAAACCCAGCUUAGCCUGAAACCUGAUUGAUGUUUAGAAAAAUAGAGAUGACGAGUAAGCACGCUAGCUCAGUGCAGCCCUGAUUGCCAGUUGCUUUGCUUAGUAUAUUUAACAUGGUACGCCAUACCGGCCUGUACUGGUGCAGACUGAUAUUGUACCGAUAUGUGAUAUAGGGUGUACUGAGUAUCAGUAUGCUGAAUCGACCCCCGUAUUAGGCUUAUGAAACACGACAUCAAGAAGGUACCGUUACAAGGUCCAGUACCAAGAUUGCAAACCUUGAGUAUAAAUCAGGCACAAGGACAACCUAAUCAACGUGCAUUCAAGCACAAGUAGUAGCAAGCCUUGUUCUGCUUUUAGCAACUAAAAAGGGUAAUGGAAGGUCAAGAGUUUUGGAAAUUAACUCACCAGUCACCACCCCUUUCACAAGCAACAGCAAUUAACCAGCUGAUCACUAUAGGACAGAUUGGCAAUCACAAGGUCCAGCAAAAGAUGACCAAACAUUGUAAACGGAUGACGAAUAUUUUCAUCAAGUUGGACAGGGCUAUGAACGCCUACAUCAAGAAUUAGCACUAGCUGUUGAGCACAUGGGACAAUUUGAUACCGACACUGACAUUCAGACUCAGAGAGAGUCAGAGAGAGAGAGAGAGAGAGUUUGGAAUAGAUGUAUUAAGAUUUGGUUGGAGAAUGUCAACAUGAGUUCUUCUCAUGUAACAUUUGCUCAGAAAGCAGAUUGAUUUACAUGGAAGAAAGCUCAAAUGAAGAUUUUAAACUGAUUUGAUAGCAAAACCCAAAAAUAUCACAGAACUUAUAAAAUUAAUGAAGGGAUAUAAUUAUUGGAGCCAUUUGAUGCCUGUCGUAUAGAGAAGAGUGCAUUGAUAUGAAUAAAGAUCUAUGAAACAUGAUGGGAAUGAAAUAGAGGAAUAGAUGCAUGUCAUUCAACUCAAGAAUUCUCCACAAUAAUGUCAUGAAUAAAUGAUUCAAGCACCAAAAAUGAUAGCACCGCAGAGCUUAUUGCACAAAAGAGGUACUUGUUGAGGAUCACGUGUGAAGUAAAAUUCCAAAUGAAUGAAUUGUGGAAGAGAGGAUUGAUGCAGAUGAAUGAGCCCAAAACAUAUGUAUGAAUUCUCCACAAUAAUAUCAUGAAUAGAUUAUUCAAGCACCAAAAAUGAUAGCACCAUAGAUCUUUUUCGCAUAAGGGAAGGGGGAAGGAGUCUAAAUUAAUGGACCAAGGUCCGCCAUACCGGGUCCAGUUUGCGUAUCGGUCAUCAACCGGACCGGUACGGUUCCAGUUUGUACCGGAACCGGGCGGUACAAACUGGCCAGCUCUUCCCGCCGGAGCCGGGGAAGAAGAGAACGAGAGAGCGCGUGGAGAAGAGGAGGGAGGAGACCUGUGACCGCCAUCGAAGAGCCGCGGAGGGGCAGAGGAGGGCCGGGGAGGGGGGGGGCGGCAAAGCCUGGCGGGGGGCGGGGGAACCUGCAAGGAGGCGGCUGAGGCCGAGGCCGCGGCCGCAUCCCCUGUUUCAAAAGAAAGAAACAGAGGACGGGGCCGCAGGUUUUUAAUUUGGGGGUUUUAAGUGAAGUGGGCAAAUCGGUUGUCGACUUCUUUCGAAACAGGAGACGCGGUAGCGGCCUCGGCCUCCACGGUGCCCCCGCGAGUUUCCUCACCCCCCACCGGGUUCCGCAGCCCCCCCGGCCUCCGCCACCCCUUCAUGGCUCUCCGAUGGCGGCCACAGAUCUCCUCCCUCCCUCUCUUCCCCGCGCUCUCUCUCCUUCUCUUCAUCUUCUUCGUCUCCGGCACAGAACCGGCCCGUACCGGUUGCCAUGGCUCCGGCGUACCGGUAGCUAACCGAACCGGCCCGUACCGGCCAGUAUCGGCCGGUACAGGCCGGUUCGGCAUACCAUGUAAUGGACAUUAAUGAACCAUCAUUAAUGGACGUUGCACAUGACACGAUCAAUUCGACUCGACGGUCCGGCGCUAAUAGAAGUCGUUUACUCUCCAUCUAGUGAAGGUGCCAGGGCAGGGCUUUUUUCGUAGUAAUAGUGGGCGGGUCGCACAAAAGAUGUUCUUGUUGCGAAUCACGCAUGAAGUGAAAUUCCACAGGAAUGAAUUGUGGAAGAGAGAGGAUUAAUGUAGUUGACUGGACGCAAAGCGUAUGUAUGUAUGUACAUAUGUACAGACUCAAAUCCAGAUAAUAAGACUCCCAGUUCCCCCAACAGCACUCACAGUCUCACACUGUCUGCAUUGUCAUUUUGCAAAUAGUUGCUUUAUCAUGGGAACUACUGGCAAAUAGUUGCUUUAUUAUGUGAACUUCUAAAGAACGUUAGGUUGAAUAUGUUGAGCAGAGAGCUGCUAGAUGGCUGUUUUGAUUCUACUGUUUUCUCAGACAAGUAUCAUUAAGAAAGUAGCUCCCGUAAUAAAAUAAACAAGUUGUUAGCAUCUUCACUCAAGUAAGAAUGAAAGACAACUUAGAGAUAAGAAGAAAACAGAUCAACAGUUUUACCUGAUAUAUGGGCGAUAUGUUAUGCCCCCCACAACUUGAUUAUGCCUAAUAACCAUCAUAGACUUGUGGCUUCUGAAACAGUUACAAAGAAAAUGAACCAGAACAGGUUAAAGAAAAAACAACUGGAAGCCGAAAGAGAAUAUAAACAAGGUCAUCUCAAGAGUUGACAUCUAAACAUAUUGAUAUCAGUGUCAUGUCACUGAUUAAAAUGGACUGGAAAAAGGUAAGAAAAGCUGUGUACAUCCACCAUCAUAUGCAUGAAUUAAUGACUGGGAUUGAUUAGAGAAAACGGCAUUUAACCAACAAAUGGUGAUGAAUACAGAGGUCUUUGAUUUGUGCAAGUAAUUCGUUUAUUGAUAUAUAAUGCAUGUGUUGAUAACCAACAGGUUUGUAACUGUUUCUAUGUUCGAAUAUUAGCACGACUUUUUAUUAGACUAACCUUCAGUAGUCAACUUACAAGUAAAAGGACAAAUGGUCUUUCUAGCACAUAUAGCAGACACCUUAUCUUUAUAAUGCAAAAUAAGGGAUGUAGAGGAUAUGGAACAAAGUAAUAAAAAAAAGCCUUCUUGCAAACCACUAGCAUAAUUAGUGUUGGUUUGUGUUUCCCUUCAUCUGCAAUACUGGUUAUUAAGGAGCCAUAUUUGACAACUUUUGACCACAACAUGUAAAUAUUACAUGGUUACUUAGGGAGACAAGAUGAAGAUUGUUUAGCAAGUGAGGACUUUUUUUCACAAAUUUUGGGGGUGAAUGUUCCUCCACUAAGGUCUUCCAAUUCCUUGUUGGAAUGUGUAGGAAUUCAUUCUUUCUACAAGAUGCUUAUAAGGAAUUCUCAAAAUUCCAAAUCUAUUGCAGCCUUGCAGGUUUGUGUCAAUUAGAGGAGUCCAUAACCCAAUAAUCUAAAGAUUAAGUUCUACUUCAUGAACCAAUUUGAACAUAAAAAAAGUGUUCAAACACUCUUUUUCAUUUAAACGCUGUUUACCCUCUUCCUCUUCCAAGCAGUUCUUACAUCAAUAUGGCCAACAAAAGAAGAAUGUCAGAAAUGUUCGUCACAGUCAACUACAGGAAUAUUGGCAUACAACAUGGUUAUUUAUGGAGAU